GCGUAGGCGGACAUUUAAGUCAGGGGUGAAAUCCCAGAGCUCAACUCUGGAACUGCCUUUGAUACUGGGUGUCUUGAGUGUGAUAGAGGUAUGUGGAACUCCGAGUGUAGAGGUGAAAUUCGUAGAUAUUCGGAAGAACACCAGUGGCGAAGGCGACAUACGGGAUCGUUACUGACGCUGAGGCUCGAAAGCGUGGGGAGCAAACAGGAUUAGAAACCCU
rnacentral:rRNA from 1 species